AAGGACUGUCCAAAUUAAAAUUACAAGGAAUUUUGUUAUAAUGAUAUUCAUACACAAGUGUCAUCGCAUUGGAAUGUUUAUCACGUGCGUGGGUGGAAAACAUCUGCAAUUACUAGUGGAGGUGGAGCUUCGGUCACAUGACACUGUACUUAGCUUUCUGAAGUUGACCGUAGCUAGUUGAUCGUGUAAAACCCUGAAAAACUAUUUGUUGUAAGCUACCUAGUAGUUAUUAAAGGCCUUAACUAAGACUAUUAGAUAGUAGAGAAAUUGUUUCCUGCUGCGCAAGACAGAGUGCAACCAAACAAGAAUGUUAGGAGGAGAUCUCGGGGACAAUUCAAGAUUUCAUCAGUAUAUGAUAUGUACAUCAGGAUUCCAAGAAAAGACAGGAUCUAACUAAGCUGGAACAAAAUUUAAUGGUUUUUUUAUAAUUUAGUUUUACAAGGAAAUUUCAUGUUAAUUGGUCACAUGAUAGUCACAUGAUCUUUUUUUUCAUUACAGAGGUUUUCAGGUUGGUUGACUAUAGUGACUGUGAAAUAAAUAGAGCAUGCGCAAUGCACAAUAGCUAUAGACUCCGCCCAGCUACUUCAAUCAAUAAACUCGCGAAAUUCAAUACUCGUUGGACCUUCGUUGGAGAGUAAUUUGGCUCUAUCUUGCUCAUCACUUGAAUUGUAAAGACAUAUCACACCAAGUCAGCCUUUCUGAGAGCACUGUCUAUAGAUAUAUUAAUGCUUUUGAGCAAACUGGUGAUGUAGCGCCAAGAGUUUCAACACAUGGUCCUCAGAAACUACUCGGAGAUUUUGAACAGCUUGUACUUCUACGAAUCAUUUUGGAGAACACUGGCAUAUACUUACAUGAAAUUCAAGCAAAACUUGUUACAAUGUUUGGCGUUACUGUAAGUGUUGCAACCAUCUGUCGAACACUGAAGUUCAUGAACUGUACACGGCAAGUUAUUCAACACAUUCAUAUACGGCGUAAUGAUGAAUUACGUGCUAAGUUUAUGGCUGAAGUUACAACCUAUGAUCCAAGAAUGCUCAUAUGGCUAGAUGAGACAGGGUGUGAUAGAAGAAAUUGUGUGCGAAAAUGGGCAUACAGUAUAAGAGGUAUGACGCCCAGAGACCAUAGGCUGCUAGCACGUGGAACACGCUACUCAGCAAUUCCUGUACUGUCCCUUGAUGGAAUACAUGAUGUAUGCUUCUUUGAAGGGACUGUGGAUGGUGGAAGGUUUGAGCAGUUUUUGAGAGAUUGUGUUCUUCCAAUUCUAAAUCCAUUCAAUUGGGUAAAUCCCCAUUCAGUUGUGAUUAUGGACAAUGCCUCCAUACACCAUGUGGAGGGUGUUAUGGAUUUAAUUGAAAACCAAGAAGGAGCACGACUGCUUUUUCUCCCUCCAUACUCACCUGAUUUGAAUCCUUGCGAAGAGGUUUUCAGUCAAGUGAAAUCAAUUAUGAAGCAAAACGAUGGAGUAUUUCAAUCAUGCAGUGCCUCAAGAGUACUCUUAAGUAUGGCAUUUAGUAUGGUAACCAAACAAGACUGCCUUUCUUAUAUCUCUCAUAGUGGAUACAUUGACUAAAACAUUAUCACAACGUAUAAUAAUAACUAUGCACAGCACACCAAAAAUUGUCAGUUUAAUCAAUAUUAUGUCACUUUAGUUGUUGAAGUAACUUCAUGAUUGUACCCUUCUCUUCACAAUAUUCCUCGUCAGUCAACACCCCACUUUGCUUUAGAUUUUGUAGUUCAUUCAACUGCCUGUAUAGCUUCGACCUACUUUCUAUAACUUUUGCUGGGCUAUUGCUUGAAAUAUGUGUCGAACUGGUAGGAGACAAAGCUGUAGCAAUCACAGUUGCCGCAUCAGAGAGAGCCCGAGCAACUGGCACAUUUCGAGAUUGAGUGCCGCUGCCAGCACGAGUGAACAUUGUGGUGUUAGGCGGAUUGUCCAUACUACAAUACAUACCACUUGCUACCAUUUCGGCCCAUAUACGAAAUUGCAUAGGUGUAUAAUCACUAAGGUGCUUUUCUUUCAAUGAGUCGACCAGUUGCUGAACUUUCUGUUCCUUGUCAGCCUUGUCAGGUACUUUUUUCUUUGUAUUAACCACAGAUACGCCAUCACUUCGAGGACGCUUGCGACUCUCUUUGGUGUUGCUUAAGCCAUCACACCACAGCAUUACUUUGCCUUUACUUUUUGCAAUACAGGACCACACCUCCUCCAGAUCACGCCUAUUUCUAAUCCGCACAACACUUGAACCCUCCACAUAUCCAACAUCGAAGUCACUAUCAACAAUGUCAUCAGUUAACUGUCUCUUAAUGGCAUCUUUUAAGUCCUCACAUGUGAGAAUUGUAGUAAUAUCUAAAUCACGAAGAGUGAACAUCUUUCCAGAGCUUAUAGGCCCAUCUUUUGAUUCAACUUUCACCAAAACUUUGGAUAGAAGUGGGGAAGCUCCUUGUAAUGUUGUAUUGAGUUUUGCAGUAGGAACAUUUGGCAUUGAAUAUGUACCUUUACUUAAUGGUGUAAUUAACACGCACCCACCACCGUUCUUUGAUACUUGUUUCUGUGAUCCACUAUUAAUAGUCACUCGGCGCCCAGUGGCAGCUACAGCAAGCGAAAGUGAACACAAAGGCUGUCCUGGUUCCAUGAUCAGAUGAUCUUCUAGCAUGUGCUUGCAGCUGUGCUGACACAGCAAACCAGAGUACAUAGUUCAAUGUUUUGCGCAAGCGCACAUGAUAGUUUCUCAAGGAACCUGAAAACCUCUGUAAGGAAACUUAAAUUAUUAUGACAAAACAAAAUGUGCAAUUACUAUGUUUAAUAUUGAAUACUUUUUGAUAUUAUGUGACGUUGGCUGUUCUUGAUUCUGGACGUGCCUUAAUACACCUGAGGUGUCAAAGGCAAAGGCAAACCAUCCAACAGUUGCAACUCCAAGAAGAUGAAACCUAGGUACAAUAAUCUGUCUUCCUGAGUCUCUGGUACUUCUUAACAAUGCGCCCAGCACUCAACUUCAUGCUCGAAGGGGUUGUCUUGGACCUGGCUGGACUAGGACUGGUCAUGACACUUCUCUAAAAUAAUGUUAGCUAGCUAGCUAGUAGACUAGAAACCACGCCCCUUUCUUUAGGGAAAGAGACUGGCCAGGUGACUAUCAACGACUUGUCUUCAUUGUGUACUGAAUUUUGCGGAAGUGGUUCAGGGAAAAGGGUGUGGUCACCAGUGUUGCGGUUUAGUAUACUUUGGCUAGAUCGAGCUAGAUCUACUUGUACUCUAGCAAGCUAGCUAGCUCAGCCACCUACCAAACUUAAUUUCAAUCACAAGUCAACUGCUGCAAAACUAUGUCCAAGUCUGGAGCUAGCUGUCACCUGGAUGUACCUAGUUCUUGUCCUGUCUGUGGCAAUGAUACCGCUGUAAUAGAAACUCAAAUGUUGCUGGCAAUAGGGCAAAGCAAAGGGACUUUCCAUAAACCAGUUGGCAGAGAGACAAAUAUAUCUGAUCUCUGCUACUGACUUCUGUCUGUUAUUUUUGCAGUGGCCUUGUAGCCAGCCAGGUUAUAGCAACUUUAGAAUUGCUUCAUUGGAGAAGUACUGAUAGACAACUUAUAUCCAAACAGCUAGCUAAGUAGACAUAACAUUUAUACUGCAACUGUACAGCUAAAAAUAUUAAUACUCACAUAAUAAUAAAAUUUAUGCAAUAUUGUGGUUUAGAUAUCUCCCACGCAUUCAUGCACACACUACAUUCCAAGCAUUCCGUUGGGACGAGUCGUUGAUGGCCAGUCUCUUCCCUAAAGAAAGGGGCGUGGUUUCCAGUCUAGCUAGCUAGGCAGCUCUGAUGUACACGCCCAUAAUUAUAACUCCGUAAACAACACCGCCCACUUGUUCACGUCCGUAUACUGGAUUCUAUUUUUAGCAUAUCCGGUCUCUGAUAUGAUACAUAGUGAGUUGCAUGCCCUCUUCUCUCUUUCCUUGGCAAUCUGUUGUAGAAAUUACAACAACGGUACACAGCCAAAAAUCCACGGGUCCGUUUCAGGCCGUUAGUUGAAAACGGGCCGUUACGGGACCGUGAACGGCCCGUUACGGGCCCGUGAACGGCCUGUAUACAGGAUGUAGCCCACCCACGUCCUGUAUACAGGCCGUUCUCACGGGCUGUAAACAGGACGUGGGCUAACGUCCUGUUUACAGCCCGUGGAUACAGGCCUGUAUCAGGGCGUAGCAUCCACGUCCUGUAUACAGGCUGUUGCAGCUGUAGCUUAUGCGCAUGCGCUAGCUUGGGGCAGGAUGACGUCACCUGACUACAAAAAGAGAAUGAGACAGACAGAGCUCUGAGAAAAAAUCCUGCUGCUUGUCACAAGAGGAGCUGCUGGUCCAAAAAGACAACUUGAAGAGGACUAUACAUUAUUAGUCUACCUGUGAACAGAAAAAGGUUUGCACGUUGCAUGUUAUGGACUUUUGAAGCUGGAACACUGGCCAAUUUUACAAGGCUCCCAUCUGAAGUUUUUUCACUUUUGAUAAAGAGGUGUUGAAGAAUGCUCCCAGAUAAUGCUGCCGAGUUGAAGUCUGGACUAAUUACACACUAGAUGUUGUCAGAAGAAUGAACUAAAAAUAAAGCAACAGUUUCCUGUUGCGAGAUAUCUUCGAGAUGAAAAAGAGCCCUUGUAAUGUGUACAGCACACUGUAAGCUGUUGACUGACUUCAUAGUACGCCGGUAAGAUUAUUCACAGUGGUGUGUUCUUCUUUUAAUCUCCUAACUCUUAUUCAGAUGUUGCAAAACUCAAGGUUUGUUUAUUGUUUUCAUCUUUAGCACUCGUUACACAUGUUAUUUAAUAGAUUUCUUUAUUGGCAUGCCGAGUUGGAGUCUGGAUGUGUUAGAUUGAAGUUUUUAGACGAAUGAUAAAGAGAAUGCAACAAUUGCCUGUGUACAGCUGGCGAGCUAUCUCGGAGAUGAAGAACGGCCCUUCAAGCUGACUUCAUAGUACGCCGGUAAGCAGUGGUGUAUUUUUUGUACAAUUCCCAGCCUCUUCUCCUCAGAGUCUAUCUUUGUGUAUCUGCAUAAAAACAAGACGAAUAUAAAUACAUGCCACCGUGGGAUGUGAAGACACGGACAUGAUAAUGAGAGACAUAAUUAUAUAAUGUAGCUGAACAGAAAUUAAUAUAUCUUGUUCUUGUCUUCUUUGUCUUUGAAUUGUGACCUUUUGAA